rnacentral:tRNA from 1 species
GGUGGAGCAGCCUGGUAGCUCGUCGGGCUCAUAACCCGAAGGUCGUCGGUUCNUAUAUCCUGAAAACCGCCA